rnacentral:rRNA from 1 species
UCAGUUCGGAUCGGAGUCUGCAACCCGACUCCGUGAAGCUGGAUUCGCUAGUAAUCGCGCAUCAGCCAUGGCGCGGUGAAUACGUUCCCGGGCCUUGUACACACCGCCCGUCAAGCCAUGGGAGCCGGGGGUGCUUGAAGUGCGUCGCCGCAAGGCGCGCCCUAGAGCAAAACCGGUGACUGGGGCUAAGUCGUAACAAGGUAAC